AAACGAUAGCUAAUACCGCAUAAUCUCUUCGGAGCAAAGAGGGGGACCUUCGGGCCUCUCGCGUCAGGAUUAGCCCAGGUGGGAUUAGCUUGUUGGUGAGGUAAUGGCUCACCAAGGCAACGAUCCGUAGCUGGUCUGAGAGGAUGAUCAGCCACACUGGAACUGAGACACGGUCCAGACUCCUACGGGAGGCAGCAGUGGGGAAUAUUGCACAAUGGGGGAAACCCUGAUGCAGCCAUGCCGCGUGUGUGAAGAAGGCCUUCGGGUUGUAAAGCACUUUCAGUAGGGAGGAAGGUAGUGUAGUUAACACGUGCAUUAUUUGACGUUACCUACAGAAGAAGCACCGGCUAACUCCGUGCCAGCAGCCGCGGUAAUACGGAGGGUGCGAGCGUUAAUCGGAAUUACUGGGCGUAAAGCGCAUGCAGGCGGCCUGUUAAGUCAGAUGUGAAAGCCCGGGGCUUAACCUCGGAAUUGCAUUUGAAACUGGCAGGCUAGAGUCCUGUAGAGGGGGGUAGAAUUUCAGGUGUAGCGGUGAAAUGCGUAGAGAUAUGAAGGAACACCAGUGGCGAAGGCGGCCCCCUGGACAAAGACUGACGCUCAGAUGC
rnacentral:rRNA from 1 species